CCUACGGGAGGCAGCAGUGGGGAAUAUUGGACAAUGGGCGAAAGCCUGAUCCAGCCAUGCCGCGUGUGUGAAGAAGGUCUUCGGAUUGUGAAGCACUUUAAGUUGGGAGGAAGGGUUGUAGAUUAAUACUCUGCAAUUUAGACGUUACCGACAGAAUAAGCACCGGCUAACUCUGUGCCAGCAGCCGCGGUAAU
rnacentral:rRNA from 1 species